rnacentral:lncRNA from 10 species
GUGUCUGUACCGGUGCUGCAACGGGAGGGUCGGGCGGCGACGCUCUCACUGCCGGGCCAGAAGGAGGCCUCCCGGCUCCCUCACGCUAGAAGGGAGCUGGUUACCAGAGGUUUUCAGAGACGCCAAAGUUUUGCCAGGUCAGCCCGGUGCCUGCGUGGCCCACUGCGGGACCUUUGCGCCCAGCCACCGCGCCACCCUACCCCUGUCCCGCCCCUGCCCCAGCCCGGCUGGCCAGGAAGGGACCUACUGGGAGAUACCUGCUCGGAACCCCAGGCUAAGGACGUACCUCCCUUGCUUGAAAGUGGGGGAAGGGGGUGCCUCUCUCCAUUACCGUGGUUAGGAAAGCAGGGUACUCAGGAUCCCGCCUCUCCCGUGCUCCCCACUUUCCCUGCCUUAAUCUUAUCAGCAGCUCCCUGAACUCCCCACUCUGGCCCCUUAUCUUGAGCUGCUUUACCUCUCUUCUCUGUCGUCAACCCCACUCUAAUGGCCUUCCCUGGUCGGGCUACCGGCUGCAUGUCUGACCCGUUCGGAGACUGUGAGCUCCCGAGGGCAGGAACCAGGUCUGCCUUCUUCCUGCUGCUGUCCUAGAGGUCCUGGGAGGUGCUCAAUCCUUGAAGGUGUGAAUGGAUGAAUGAAUGAGCACCCCGCCUCUCUCUCAUUUCUGGUCUAGGAAUCAGGAGUGUAGGUUCCUGUCUGGCUUCAGCACUGACUCUGGGAGACCUUGACCCAGUUCCAUUCCCUGGCAGGGUCUUCUUUCCUGUGAAAUGGAGCCAAUCGCUCCGCUGGCUGGACAAGUGCAGAGGAGGCCUCUUCCUGUAGCCAAGGAACUUGCCCCGGGCCUUCGGGGCCUUGGGCCCUCUUGGGCUCCAUAUCAGCUGACUGGGCCUGGCUGCCAGGAAGGGUGCUGGCUGCAGCCCCACCAGGAGCAGUAGCAGAGUGGACACACAGCCCAUAGUGGCUGAGCCGCCUCUGCAGUCCUGCUGGGGCCUUUGCUUGGGAGACACAAAGGCCCCUUGUCUAGCCUCCUGCGCCUAUUGUCUAAGCUGGGCCACGCACCUUCCAGGGACCUAAGUAUCCUCAUAGCCCGAGUUAUAGGGCCUAGGCCUUCAGGUUCCAGUGUGGGGAAGACCCUUUGGGCACUGGAACUCCAGCCAACCCUCUCUUUCUCUCCCCUCUUCCAAAACUUCAAACCUUAUACUGUCACUGCCAUUUAGCCCAGGAGAAACAAGUUUCUUUGACGCCAAGUUGAGGACCCAGGCUCGACCUUAGCCUUCAGCGGGCAAAUCUGGUUGGUGGCCUGCCCAGGGCUCUGCCCCUGCUCUGGCCCAAUUCCCUUACUUUACAGCUGAGGAAACUGCAUUCCUGAGACAUACAGCGUUUCAGCUACCACACAGGUGACUUAGUGAGGCUUGAGGAGCAGAGGAAGGGGCCUAGUCCUUGAACCCCAUAGCCUUGGGUUUAGAUUCCAGUCUUACCUCACCUGUCCUAUGACUCCUCUCUGAGCCUGAGUUUCCUCUUUUGCAAAAGGGAGUAAUACUAAUCUCUCACUUGCUGGCCUGUCUUAAAUUUUUUGAGAAAGGGCCUCACUCUGUCACCCAGGCCGUAGUGCAGUGGCAUGAUCACAGCACACUACAGUCUCUAUGUCCCAGGGCCAAGGGAUCCUCCCAUCUCAGCCUCCCAAGUAGCUGGGAAUACAGGCACAUGCCACCAUGCCGGGCUAAUUUGUAAAUUUUUUGUAGAGAUGGGAUCUCCCUGUGUUGACCAGGCUGGUCUCAAACUGCUGAGUCCAAGCAGUCCUCCUGCCUCGGCCUCCCAAAGUGCUGGGAUUCCAGGCAUGAGCCCCUGCACCCUAUCCUUAAAUUCUUUUUUCAUGGUUUUAUUCAUCAUCCCAAGCUGUCUGGGCUCAAGGCGUUAGUAUCCCAUGCAAUGAGGGCCUAGAAGUUUCGUCUCCUGACAUCCUCCCCAGGCAGUCCCAUCGCUGGGUUUCAGAGGCCAUCAAGCCCAGCAGGCUUCAAAUCCCCCAACAGAGUCCCCCUUACCUGGGGCUGCCUGGGGAACUCCCAUCCCACUUCAACUUGAGCACCUUUGCCUUUGUAUUUUUAUUUAUUUACAUUUCCUGGUAAGAAUUUGUUGCAAGCACAUGAAAGAUUUUGUGGCUGAAGUAAUGUAAAACCAUUGAUCAAACCGGAAAUUGAGACACAGCCAGCGUCACACAACAGGCCAUCUGAAAGGCUGGAAUAGCAUCGAGGGAGUCUCCCUGGAACCAAGCAGCCAAGGCAGGCUAAUGGUGAAGGCCCAGGCACAGUAAUGGUCCCCUGGAGCAGGAGGGGAAGGGCAAAGUUCCAGCCUCAGCUUCUCCCAUGGUGUCUCUGUUGCCCCUUGAUGCCAUACCCUGCCUUACACUCUCUGGUGGCUCCACCAUCCUCUGGAUAAAGCCUAGCUCUCUAGCCUGCCACUCCAGCCUCCCUGCCUCUCUGCCUCACCUCUCACCUCUGACCAGCCUCCUGUUGCCUCUUGCUGCUCCCUCUGCCCACAGUGCCCCCUGCUUCUGGCUCCCCACCAUGGGUCCUCGAAGACCCAGGCCAGGUGCCCCACCACUUACCAUGCUGUUAUUGCUAUCACUGCCUGUCUCCCCCUCUAACAGGGAUCUCUCUGAGAGCAGAGCCAGGUUCCAUUCUGUUCACAAUUAAAUGGCCAACACCUAGCACUGUCCCUGAAUAAUUUUUCUUUUUUUUUCUUUGAGAUGGAGUCCUGCUCUGUCAUCCAUGCUGGAGUGCAGUGGCGUGAUCUCAGCUCACUGCAACCUCCGCCUCCUGGGUUCAAGUGAUUCUCCUGCCUCAGCCUCCCAAGUAGCUGGGAUUACAAGUGUGCACCAUCACACCCUGCUGAUUUUUGUAUUUUUAGUAGAGACAGGGUUUCACCAUGUUGGCCAGGCUGUUCUUGAACUCCUGGCCUAAAGCGAUCCACCCGCCUUGGCCUCCCAAAGUCCUGGGAUUACAGGCGUGAGCCACCGUACCUGACCCCUGUCCCUGAACAUUUGUCACAAUAUAUUAUGAGUGAAUGAGUAAGAACUCUAUUUUAGUGGUCACCUUCUUUGUGCUAGUCAUUAAGUUUAAGGUAUCUCGCUUAAUAUUCUCCAGAACCCUGUGAGAUAGGCAUUAUUUUAUUCUCAUGUGACAUGUAGAGAAACAGGUUCAGAAAGGGGAAGCGAAAGUCCAAAGCAGUGAAUCUGCGGUGGGUCUCCUGGCCCCAGAAUUGCAGCCUGAUGGGAAGGAAGGCCCUGCUGAGUUCCCAGAGUUAUGGCUGGGUCAUGGCAUUGGGACCCACACUGGCAGCUCCAGUUACACAGGGCUGGGCUGGCUCUAGCAGCCUUGUCUUACUUGCUCCCUGAACUGCUGCAUUGACCUGCACCAUCCUCCCUUCCCUUGCCAGCCGAGAACUGUGCUCCUCAGGUUUCCUGGGCAGGGUCCAGGGCUCUGAUGCCAAACGCAGCCUGGAAACUCUAGCUCUCAGCAUGCCAGGAUGCGGGCACCCAAGUGAGGCCGCCUGGGAUGCAGGAAGCUUAGUCCAGGCCUGGGCAUGCCUCUGUUCCAUCUCCCCUCAAGCAGGACCAGCUACUUAAUCUGCGGGACCCAGAGCAGAAUGAAAAUGUGGGCCCCUCAUUCAAAAAUUUAAAAUUUCCAACAAAAGAAUGAAAAAAUAAGAAAAAAUUAAGAAUUUCAAGAUGGUGAUAGCAGAGUAUUUAACACUUCAAAUCAUGACCCUUACUGUCCAGGUCACAUGCCCACAAAGUCAGCCCUGUCGUCAGGCCUUGGUUUCCUUGUCUGUCAAGUGGGAGAAUGGUAGCCACUGGCCAAAAGGGUGAGGGUGAGAAUGAGGUGGGAGCUGGUGGUAAGAGGUCCAGUGAACAGCAUGAGGAUGAGGUAAGAGUCUCCAAGUUCAUGAUUUGUUAUCUGGGUCUCAGCACCGGGUGGCAGGCCAAACUCCUUGCCAGGAGUUUGAUUGCUUACAACAGCUCUUUUUCACAGAACCAAAAAACUAAAAAUCCAUGAAGCAAAGUAACUUGCUCAGGGUCACACAGAGACUCAGUGGGGGAAGCCAAGAUCAGAGUUCUGGCCUGGCUCUCUUCGAAGCUGGUGCUUUUUGUGACCCAGGCAGGAGAGAGAGAAGCGCAGGAGGGAGGUGGGAUGGGGACAGGCUGCUCAGGACAAAGAGGGCCACUGUGCAGACACAAAGACCUGACCACAGAGGCCCCUCUGGGGGCUGGGACAGACAAAUGGAUGGAGCCCUGUGACUCUAUCUGUGGUGACUGGGGUAGCUGCCAGGAGCUGCCUCCUAGACCCUACCUGGUUGUGAUGAGGGUUGGGGAGGGUGUUGGUGUGCAGGAACCAGGAAAUGGGUCAGGGAGGAGAAACAAACUCAGAGAUGGGCCCCUUCCCCACUCCCCAGGCCUCUGACCCCAUCUCCCCCUAGCUCCUCCUGGGCAGCCUGCCAGCUUAUGGAAUCUCCCACAAACCAUCCACCGCCCCACAUUCCUCCUUCUCAGUGAGGGUGAGGCUCAGGCAACUCACUGUCUGGCAGUCCCAGCCUCACAAUACUUCUGACCCUUCCCCAUCACCAGUGGCAGGAUGAAGCAUAUGCCCUCGGCGCAGUGUCCUUCAGGGCCCUGUGUGACCUGCCCUGCUGACCUUUCUUCACUCACCUGUCCCCACUCCUCCUCAGCCUUCUACGCUGCAGUCACAUGGAACGUCCCACCAUUCUCCAAACACUCUGUCCUUUCAUACACACACCCCCAUGUUGGCUCAUGCUUUUCCUUCUUCCUGGGGGGCUGUUUCCCCUGCUCCAGUAGACUGAAAUCCCAUUUCUCCUCCAUGAACCAGCUCAAAUGCCACCUCCAGUAGCCAGCUUUCCUCCAUGCCCACAGUUGGGUUUAGCUUCGCUCAUUAACCUGUUAAUCUACACAUGUUGGGUUCACCCACUCUAGCGGUGCUCCUCCCACGCUGGCUUGUGUUGUAGUUGUUCCAAUCCACAAAGCCUACCUGGAAGAGGGGACCUUUGAGCUGAGCCUUACAGGACAGGUGGACUUCACUAGUGAAUGUCAGUGGUAAGAAGUGACAGGAGCUCAAAGAAUCAGGGAUAUCAGCCCUAUCUCCAAAAUUUUAUCUGCAUCAGCCAGGUUGCUGAGUUCAAAUAGCAAGGAGUCUAUAGUUCAGAAUGGCAGGAGUUGAGUGUGCAGGGACACUGUCAAGGGAUAAAGUUAAGAGGUUCACCAGGGCCAAGCCACGAAGGGUUUUAUAAUGCCAUACUAAGGAAUUUUUUUGCUUGCUUGUUUAAAACACAUUUGAAUUUAUUUCUCAGCUCUAUAGUUUACUAAGUAAUUAAGUUCUGGCUUUUAUCUUUACUAUUUUCUCCCUCUUAAUUACCUUGGGUAGCUUUUCUGUUCUUUUUCUACAAGCUUAUUAAAGUGAAUACUUAGGCUGGGUGCGGUGGCUCAUGCCUGUAAUCCUAGCACUUUGGGAGGCCGAGGUGGGUGGAUCACUUGAGGCCAGGAGUUUGACUGGCCUGGCCAACAUGAUGAAACCCCGUCCCUACUAAAAAUACAAAAAUUAGCCGGUCAUGGUGGCACACGCUUGUAAUUCCAGCUACUCGGGAGGCUGAGGCGUGAAAAUCACUUGAACCCAGGAGUUGGAGGUUGCAGUGAGCCAAGAUCAUGCCGCUGUACUCCAGCCUGAGUGACAGAGCAAGACUCUGUCUCAAAAUAAAUAAAUAAAUAAAUAAAUAAAUGUGAAUACCUAUUUUGUUGUCAUUCUUUUUCAAUAAUGUAAGCAUUUUUAAGGCUAUCAUUUCCCUCUGAAUUCAGCU